CAAUCGCAGGACCCACUCUGCCAUUUGUCCUGGAUCCUACUGGUUCCCCUAAUGCGGCGCGCCAUAUGAGUGAAAACCUGGUCAAGCACAUCAGAUACUGGUUUGAGCAACGAAACCCACAGAACCGGCACAGAAUCUGUGUUCAGCAAUGUUCCCUGCCAGGCGACAACAAUACCUCACACCAAGCAAAGAGACGGCUACAAUUGUGUUGUUUAUGUGCUUCUGAGGGAGUGCUCCACAUGCUCCAGUUGAUACCACACCACCUGUGCCGGGUGUAUCAUCACCAUCUACCAUCAACACAGAGAUAAUCCUGCCUUACAAUGGAUGUGCCCACCCUGCCACCAUUGAAGGCCUGCACACCAAGGCUACUAUUGCGUCAAUACGGUGUCAAGAUGUUUCAAGGAUGGGGGUCCAACAACGCAGCAAGAGAGGCAAUCCAUGUGUGGGAGAUCUUCACCUCAUACUUCUUCGAAGAGGGUGCUGUUCCAAGGGUGCAAACACCAUAGACUACACUAUGCACAACCAAAGGCUCUUUUAAGAGCCAUCCACACUGCACUAAGAGUAUUCUUCCCAUGUACUCUUCAUAUAAUGAAUUAAAAUGCCUUUAUUUGUAUGGCAUGUUCAAUAGAAAAAUGGCAGCAGCCAAAACGCUUCGCAUUAAAAAAAAAAAAAAAAAAAAACUUUGUUUCUAUUGAACAUGCCAUACAAAUAAAGGAAUUUUAAUUCAUUAUAUGAAGAGUGCCUUGGUCCUUCUUUUUGAUGACCAAUUUACCUCUUUUACCAAAGAGCCCCUUCUGUCUACCUAAAUGUACUAUUGUGUACCUUAGUAGCGCUUUCCUUCCUCCUCUUUCUAAGAGUAUUCUUCCAUUUACUUAGCUAAUGUCAACUGCAGUUAUUCAAUUCCCAGUUUCUCUCCCUUUGAUUACUACUUCUCAGGUGAGGGUGCUGUUUAAGGGUGUGAUGUCUGUACAAAAACAAAACAGGCUAUUUUAAGUCACCCAUAUUUAAAACAAUUAGACACCUUAUAACCCACACAUUCAUUUAUCAAUAUGUUUGAUGGAUUGUGUUGUGCAGUAAAAGCAAGCUCAGAUGUAUAACUGUGGCUCCUUUGACCUUCAAAAGAAUAGGCAAGAUGAAACUUCUUUAUUUCUAUAACUACGCUAUAUUGUUUGUCCUCGUGUGUCUGUGCAGGUUUUUCAGCAUAAAGUACUCUGUAGCCACUUAGUGUAGACACCAGGUGAGGCCACACACAGAUUCCUGUUGAACAGUGUCUCUUCAACUACCUUAUUUUCUCAAUAACGGUCUCUCCUUCACUUCAUCCUUCUCUCCCCUUCUCCCUAAAUCUUGUUGGUUAUCAGCUGUGUCGGUGAACCCCUCCUGCAUCUGAACUGGCUCCAUAGAGGGCACAGCAUGAUCAGAGCUAUGUUUUGAUGUGAGAGAGGAUGCCAAACCCCAGUCCCGUCAUCGCCACAUCACCCGCUCUUAAGAUACCAUUUGGACCAACUGGGAGCCCAAGGCUGGUUAGGAGACACCACUAGAGACAAUAUUAUGUAACUGUGAUGAACUGAGAGAAUAUUAAGUUAAGUAGCACUGUAAUUCAUUAAUCAUAUGCUGUCUUCCCUGCUCCUCUGUUCUUACCACUUCCUGUCUUUUACACUCACACCUCUCUCCCCACCUCUUUCUUCCUGUUUAUAUAAUGCACACCAGACAUCCAAUGAAGUACAGAUGUAACUUUUAUUUAUAUUACAAUUAUAAUAUUUAUAAUUCAUGUAUUAUGAAUUUAUAACACUUUGAACUUCUUUCGAAGCGUUUCACAUUCUCUAAUGGUUUAAAUAGUCAAUAAUUUGAUGAAAAACUACACCUAUUCUGUGCCCUCAGAUCAGUGCAGAUGAUUAAUUAGAAUAUUUUUUUUCAAGUAUUUACAUAAUGCAUAGGAAGUAGUGUACUUUCUUUUAAAUUCUAUUUCUGUAUAUAUGAAAUACAAAUCAGCCUUUAACUAGUUAAAUCAUGUUUCUAGUCUACGGCCUAUAGGGAAAUCAGAGACCUGGCAGUGUGGUGCAGGACAACAACCUCUCCCUCAAUGUGAGCAAGACAAAGGAGAUGAUUGUGGACUACAGGAAAAUGCCGAACAGGCCUCCAUUAACAUCGAAAGGGGCUGUAGUGGAGUGGGUCGAGAGUUUCAAGUUCCUUGGUGUCCCCAUCAACAAACUAUCUCUUUAAAAAUGUUAUACCUUUAUUUAACUAGGAAAGUCAGUUAAGAACAAAUUCUUAAUUUUCAAUGACAGCCUAAGAACAGUGGGUUAACUGCCUUGUUCAAGGGCAGAACAACAGAUUUUUACAUUGUCAGCUCGGGGAUUCGAUCUUGCAACCUUUCGGUUACUAGUCCAACUCUCUAACCACUAUGCUACCUGCUGCCCCAAUCAUGGCACAAACAUACCAAAACAGUCGUGAAGAGGGCACGACAAAACCUUUUCCCCCUCAGGAGACUGAGAAUAUUUGGCAUUUGUCCCCAGAUCCUCAAAAGGUUCUACAGCUGCACCAUCAAGAGCAUCCUGACCGGUUGCAUCACCGCCUGGUAUGGCAACUGCUCGUCAUCUGACCGUAAGGCGCUACAGAGCGUAGUGAGAACAGCCCAGUACAACACUGGGGCUAAGCUUCCCGCCAUAUAAUAGGCGGUGUAAGAGGAAAGCCCAUAAAAUUGUAAGAGACUCCAGUCACCCAAGUCAUAGGCUGUUUUCUCUGCUACCGCACAGCACGUGGUACCGGAGCGCCAAGUCUAGGACCAAAAGGCUCCUCAACAGCUUCUACCCCCAAACCAUAAGACUGCUGAACAAUUAAUAAAAUCGCCACCGGACAAUUUACACGCCUCCCCCCCCCCCCCCCCCCCCCUUUUGUACACUGCUGUUUUAUCUAUGCAUUGUCACUACAUGUACAAAAUACCUCAACUAACCUGUACCCCAGCACACUGACUUUGAACCGGUUCCCCCUGUAUAUAGCCUAGUUAUUCUUACUGUUACUUUUUAUCAUACAUUUUUAUUAUUUUUGUCUACUUGGUAAAUAUUUUCUUAACUCUUCUUGAACUGCACUGUUGGUUAAUCGCUUGUAAGUAAACAUUUCACUGUAAAGUAUACACAUUGCAUAGUUACAAUGUGUAACCAUAGAUGUCCCAGGACCAGGAUUGGUAAACACUGUUGAAGUGUAUAAUUGUAAUACAUACAUGCAGACACAGCAUCAUUCAAGUUUGAUACUCUUGUUAUUGGAUAUGACUGAAAAAGAAUGUCACAGACAUUCAUACCUGAACCGCAACUUUAUUUGCCAAGGUAGAGCACAUGAUCAGUGAAUAUAUUCAAUGUACAGGCUACAAUGUGAGGAUCUCAUGCUUGGUAAUAACUACAUAUACAUAUAUAUAUAUAUAUAUAUUCCAUCCUUGGCACAAUAAAGUAAAAUUAUACUCAA